rnacentral:rRNA from 1 species
UGGGGAAUAUUGGACAAUGGGGGCAACCCUGAUCCAGCAAUGCCGCGUGUGUGAAGAAGGUCUUCGGAUUGUAAAGCACUUUCGACGGGGACGAUGAUGACGGUACCCGUAGAAGAAGCCCCGGCUAACUUCGUGCCAGCAGCCGCGGUAAUACGAAGGGGGCUAGCGUUGCUCGGAAUGACUGGGCGUAAAGGGCGUGUAGGCGGUUUACACAGUCAGAUGUGAAAUCCCCGGGCUUAACCUGGGAGCUGCAUUUGAUACGUGUAGACUAGAGUGUGAGAGAGGGUUGUGGAAUUCCCAGUGUAGAGGUGAAAUUCGUAGAUAUUGGGAAGAACACCGGUGGCGAAGGCGGCAACCUGGCUCAUUACUGACGCUGAGGCGCGAAAGCGUGGGGAGCGAACAGGAUUAGAUACCCUGGUAGUCCACGCUGUAAACGAUGUGUGCUAGAUGUUGGGUAACUUUGUUAUUCAGUGUCGCAGUUAACGCGUUAAGCACACCGCCUGGGGAGUACGGCCGCAAGGUUGAAAC